UACCAGCAAUGGAAUCCAACAGCAGCCAGCUGUCAUUUGGGGAGAGAAAACAGCAACAAGAACUCUGCUGAAUUGGCUGGGAUUGGAAGAACUUGCUUUGGAAUAUUGGCCUUCAGGAGCUUUAUAUUUCAAAGUCAAACAACAACCAACCAUUCAAGCAUGGUGAUGAAUGGUGUGAUCAAACAAGAGCCUUCAGAGCAGAAAAGUGCAGCAAAUGGGAACAAAAAAGGAGACACACAAGGACACUGCUGCCGAUGAAGCAAGAAGCAAAACCAUACAGAUCAGCCUCCAGUCACAUCUGUUUGUAGAGAGGAAGAAUGAACCGUGACCAAAAGUCCAGGGGCAGGAUGCUGCCUGCCAGACCCAACACCCAGGAUAUGCAGUGUCUCGAGUGAUAUUUAAGUAAUAUGUCCCACCGACCUUGUGUCUGUAUGUGGGCGGGGGGGAGUCCGUUUUUUUGACUGUGUGCCAACCCCCACCCUCUUCUUCCUCUUCUUCCUUUUUCCCCCUCCUCGCAGAAAACUUUUGUGGGUGGAACUUGCUGAGGCUGGCAACCAGCCCACAGCCCAGUAGUGAAUGAAAAUAGUGAAGAGGAAAGUACAGUGAAAUAUCUUCAAGGGGUUUUACAUUUUCUUACAUUUUGUAUAUAUUGUAUAUUGUUAAAUUGUAUAUAGUUAU